rnacentral:tRNA from 1 species
CGCGGGGUGGAGCAGUUGGCAGCUCGUCGGGCUCAUAACCCGAAGGUCGCAGGUUCAAG